AUUGAACGCUGGCGGCAGGCCUAACACAUGUAAGUCGAGCGGGGUUUUCGGACCUAGCGGCGGACGGGUGAGUAAUGCGUAGGAAGCUACCCGAUAGAGGGGGAUACCAGUUGGAAACGACUGUUAAUACCGCAUAAUGUCUACGGACCAAAGUGUGGGACCUUCGGGCCACAUGCUAUCGGAUGCGCCUACGUGGGAUUAGCUAGUUGGUGAGGUAAUGGCUCACCAAGGCGACGAUCCCUAGCUGGUUUGAGAGGAUGAUCAGCCACACUGGAACUGAGACACGGUCCAGACUCCUACGGGAGGCAGCAGUGGGGAAUAUUGGACAAUGGGCGCAAGCCUGAUCCAGCCAUGCCGCGUGUGUGAAGAAGGCCUUCGGGUUGUAAAGCACUUUCAGUAGGGAGGAAGCGUUGUGUGUUAAUAGUACACAGCGUUGACGUUACCUACAGAAGAAGCACCGGCUAACCCUGUGCCAGCAGCCGCAGUAAUAC
rnacentral:rRNA from 1 species